rnacentral:rRNA from 1 species
GAUGAACGCUAGCGGCAGGCUUAAUACAUGCAAGUCGAGGGGUAACAGGUCUGUAGCAAUACAGAUGCUGACGACCGGCAAACGGGUGCGGAACACGUACAGAACCUUCCUUCGAGUGGGAGAUAGCCCAGGGAAACUUGGAGUAAUAUCCCAUAGGAUCAUAGAGUGGCAUCACUUAGUGAUUAAAGAUUUAUCGCUUGAAGAUGGCUGUGCGGCUGAUUAGGUAGUUGGUGUAGGUAACGGCUCACCAAGCCUUCGAUCAAUAACUGGUGUGAGAGCACGACCAGUCACACGGGCACUGGGCCCCGGGCCCGACUCCUACGGGAGGCAGCAGUAAGGAAUAUUGGGCAAUGGAGGCAACUCUGACCCAGCCAUGCCGCGUGGAGGAUGAAGGUCCUCUGGAUUGUAAACUUCUUUUAUUUGGGAAGAAAUGCCGAUUUUCUAAUUGGUUUGACGGUACCAGAUGAAUAAGCACCGGCUAACUCCGUGCCAGCAGCCGCCGUAACAC